rnacentral:rRNA from 1 species
CCCUUAGAUGUUCUGGGCCGCACGCGUGCUACACUGAGUGGAUCAGCGGGUCAGGUUGCGCGAAAGCGUUUCCUAAUCUUUAAAUCCGCUCGUGAUGGGGAUUGACGGUUGCAAUUUUCUGUCAUGAACGAGGAAUACCUUGUAAGCGCGGGUCAUCAUCCCGCGCUGAAUACGUCCCUGCCCUUUGUACACACCGCCCGUCGCUCCUACCGAUUGAGUGGUCCGGUGAAGCCUCGGGAUUGUGGCGGUUGCCUUUAUUGGUGGCCGCCGCGAGAACUUGUCUAAACCUUAUCAUCUAGAGGAAGGUGAAGUCGUAACA